CAGUAGCCGCGGGAAUACGUAGGUGGCAAGCGUUGUCCGGAAUUAUUGGGCGUAAAGGGCUCGCAGGCGGUUUCUUAAGUCUGAUGUGAAAGCCCCCGGCUCAACCGGGGAGGGUCAUUGGAAACUGGGAAACUUGAGUGCAGAAGAGGAGAGUGGAAUUCCACGUGUGGCGGUGAAAUGCGUAGAGAUGUGGAGGAACACCAGUGGCGAAGGCGACUCUCUGGUCUGUAACUGACGCUGAGGAGCGAAAGCGUGGGGAGCGAACAGGAUUAGAUACCCCGGUAGUCCCUGUCUCUUAUAC
rnacentral:rRNA from 1 species